rnacentral:rRNA from 1 species
AGUCGAGGGGCAGCAUUUCAGUUUGCUUGCAAACUGGAGAUGGCGACCGGCGCACGGGUGAGUAACACGUAUCCAACCUGCCGAUAACUCGGGGAUAGCCUUUCGAAAGAAAGAUUAAUACCCGAUGGUAUAAUCAGACCGCAUGGUCUUGUUAUUAAAGAAUUUCGGUUAUCGAUGGGGAUGCGUUCCAUUAGGCAGUUGGUGAGGUAACGGCUCACCAAACCUUCGAUGGAUAGGGGUUCUGAGAGGAAGGUCCCCCACAUUGGAACUGAGACACGGUCCAAACUCCUACGGGAGGCAGCAGUGAGGAAUAUUGGUCAAUGGGCGCAGGCCUGAACCAGCCAAGUAGCGUGAAGGAUGACUGCCCUAUGGGUUGUAAACUUCUUUUAUAUGGGAAUAAAGUUUUCCACGUGUGGAAUUUUGUAUGUACCAUAUGAAUAAGGAUCGGCUAACUCCGUGCCAGCAGCCGCGGUAAUACGGAGGAUCCGAGCGUUAUCCGGAUUUAUUGGGUUUAAAGGGAGCGUAGGUGGACAGUUAAGUCAGUUGUGAAAGUUUGCGGCUCAACCGUAAAAUUGCAGUUGAUACUGGCUGUCUUGAGUACAGUAGAGGUGGGCGGAAUUCGUGGUGUAGCGGUGAAAUGCUUAGAUAUCACGAAGAACUCCGAUUGCGAAGGCAGCUCACUGGACUGCAACUGACACUGAUGCUCGAAAGUGUGGGUAUCAAACAGGAUUAGAUACCCUGGUAGUCCACACAGUAAA